CUACGGGCGGCACCAGUGAGGAAUAUUGCACAAUGGGGGGAACCCUGAUGCAGCAACGCCGCGUGGAGGAUGACGCAUUUCGGUGUGUAAACUCCUUUUAUAUGUCAAGAAAAUGACGGUAGCAUAUGAAUAAGCACCGGCUAACUCCGUGCCAGCAGCCGCGGUAAUACGGAGGGUGCAAGCGUUACUCGGAAUCACUGGGCGUAAAGGACGCGUAGGCGGGUUGGAAAGUCAGGUGUGAAAUCCUACAGCUUAACUGUAGAACUGCACUUGAAACUUCUAAUCUAGAGUAUGGGAGGGGGAGAUGGAAUUAGUGGUGUAGGGGUAGACUCCGUAGAUAUCACUAGGAAUACCUAAAGCGAAGGCGAUCUCCUGGAACAUUACUGACGCUAAGGCGUGAAAGCGUGGGGAGCAAACAGGAUUAGAUACCCGAGUAGUC
rnacentral:rRNA from 1 species